UACGUAGGUGGCAAGCGUUGUCCGGAUUUACUGGGCGUAAAGAGCGCGCAGGCGGCCUGAUCAGUCGAAUGUGAAAGCCCCCGGCUUAACUGGGGAGGGUCAUUCGAUACUGUCAGGCUCGAAGGCAGGAGAGGGAAGCGGAAUUCCCGGUGUAGUGGUGAAAUGCGUAGAUAUCGGGAGGAACACCAGUGGCGAAGGCGACUACCUGGCCUGUUCUUGACGCUGAGGCGCGAAAGCUAGGGGAGCAAACGGG
rnacentral:rRNA from 1 species